UGAAUCGGCCGGGAAUCGAACCCGGGCCGCCCGCGUGGCAGGCGAGCCCUCUAGCAUUGAACCACCGAUGG
rnacentral:tRNA from 1 species